GAAUGUAGGCUUCCUGUAUGAGACACUGAUUAUUGAGCUAAGGACUGGCUGUAGCCUAGACAGUCUUCCAGCCUGGACGGAGGCCUCCUGAGCAACUCAGAGUGAAUGUGUUUUCAGAGUUAAGUACCAGUUAUUCCUAGGUCAUCGGGAGGUCUCUACUUUGAAAGUGGGGAAACUGAGUCUCAAGCUCGGGGACAUCAAUAGUCAGGAAGCUCAGAUCCACAGAGAGAAGCUGGCUUCUGCCCGAGUUCCAUACUCCUCUAGGCUUCUCCAUCGGCCACAUGGACUGCACUAGGAGGUCUGUGUCCCUCGUUGACCCCGAAGCCACCUCCUUGUUCCUUGUGGUACCCAACAGGGCACAAGGAUAGCUUCCCCAGGGAAGGUUACAGAUGUGUGUCUCUCAGCCAAGGACAGAGCCCAGGACAACAGACAGACAAACAGAUGGAUGGACGGGAGGCUCCUGCUCCUUGUUACAGUCAAGUGCAUCAUCUCUGUCUGAGCCUGCCACCUUCAGUAUUUGGUAGCCACCCUUCAGAUGAUGGAAAUUCCAUUCUGACCUCUUUCCAGGCACGUUCAGAAUCUCUGGGGUUGAGACUUCUCCAAAAACUUCUGCAGGAUCCUGGUGGGAAGCUCUCUCCUCUCUCUGCGUCAGCUUCCUGGGGGACCCACCGUUCCUUCCAGCCCAGAGCGGCAUCACUGUCUACACAUCACAAGCCUGGGUUGGUGUCGAGUGUCUCUGACUUUGGAGUCUCGAGCCCCGGACUUAGUUUUAUGGGCUUUGGCUGUCGAGGGCAGCCGACGACUCCAUCCAUCAACCGGGGACUGCUCUAACACUAAUGGUGAAUUUAUAGAAGUGGUUAAACAAAGUGUUGACAAUGCGGACGGUGUGUUUCUGAUUAACACACGAUUCCGAGGGAAGCUGCCAUCCGAGGGGGGAGUCAGUAAAACACAGCAGUGAAUUCCCAGGCCCCGGAGACUCCGACUAGACUGGAUCACCAGAGGUUGCGCAAGGAGAUCAUGAGUCUGAGGCUGCUGUGGGGACUCUUGUACAAACCCAGAGCCACCCCUCCCUUCCCCCCCUUUUUUUUUCUUGAGAGAUUACAUCUGAGUUCUCUCUUCCAGCCUUAAGCGUUUCCAUUAGAAAAUUCUGUCAGCUCCCAUGGUGUUCUCUCCAAACCCUGUCCUCAGACCAACCCCUCUCCCAAGGUGACCUGAAACACGGUGGAGCACUUAGCUGCUUUCUGGGUGCUGAUGGCUUUCUUAAAUCAUCUCUAGUCAUUAAGAGAACGGGUGGGGCCGUUUGCAUUUUAAAAAGACUUCUCUUCUAAAUAGCGUGGCUCUCACUGGAAGUUGCAGUAUGAUCCAGAGUGCUCUCUUGUUUCCGUGUUCCCUCCUACCCCAGUUCCCUCUUACCCCAGUGCCCCUUACCCCAGUGCCCCACAUGAUCACAUUCAAUUUCAUGGCCAUAGCAAAUUGUCAGAGCAUAGUAAAUUGCCUUUCUGACAUUCUGGGCCCCUUCAGCAGGAUUUUACUUUAUUUUCUUAAACAGCCUAUAACUUUUAUCACACAUUAAGAUUAGCAACUGCCACUAUCUGUGACGGGAGAGUCUCCCAUGAUUACACCAGAAGUCCCUGGGUUCAUCUCCCCCAUUCCUGGUGAUAAUUGCUAUGUCACGAGGUCGAACAAUGUGUAAGCUUCAAGACUGGCCUCCUAGUACUAGCUUUUCAGACAAAGCCUUGGCAUGGAACCCAGGUUGGCCUCAAAUUCCUGAUUUCCUGCUUCAGCCUCCAGAACAUUGAGGUCACAGGUGUGUGCCACCACACCAGGCUCCAUCUGCCUUCGUUUCUUCCACAUCAUCCCUUUUGGUCAGUGAAUAGUAUUCCAGUGUAUGGAUAUAACACAGUCUGUCCAUUCACUGGUUGAAGAACACCAGCUGUAGACUACACUGGCUGCUGAGAUUCAUACGCAUGAGGUGCUAAUGCAUAUUCAUGGACAGGAUUAUGUGAGCAUCUACAGUUAACAGACAAGGUUAUCAGAGACAAAAGAGAUGAUGGACAGGCCAUCAAGUAAUGUGGACACAGCUGAACUGAGAACUGAACACGGAUACAAACUCUAGAGUCCAUGUCUGCCCAAUUAUGUCUAUGAUGGAAAAUCUUGUAGCUAAAAAAAAAAAAAAAAAACAUUAAAACCUCUUGAGCCUGA
rnacentral:lncRNA from 1 species